rnacentral:pre_miRNA from 1 species
UUUUUUAAUCAAAAGACUCCGAAUUUUUACCAAAGCUUUCAACAACUGGCAAAAAUUCGGAAUCUUUUGAUUUGAAAA